rnacentral:rRNA from 1 species
CCCUUAGAUGUUCUGGGCAGCACGCGCGCUGCAAUGGUCUUCGCAAACGGAUGCAUUCUCGAAGGAGAAUGCCAAUCUUGGAAUCUAUGCCUUGGUCGGGACAGUUGCUAGCAAUUUUUCGACUCGAACCAGGAAUUCCUUGUAAUCGUGAUUCAUCACAUCACGAUGAAUACGUCCCUGCCCUUUGUACACACCGCCCGUCGCUCCUACCGAUCGAAGAGUUAGGUGAAUUGUUUUGAUCGAUAAGAUUUGACUAUGGUCAACUCUCGUUGUGAAAUUCUGUGAAUCUGACUGUUUAGAGGAAGGAAAAGUCGUAACA